AAUGUUAAAAUUUUUUGGUCCUGUCAUUUUCCGUACCAUCCGGAGGGAGCUGAAGUGGGUAGGAAUGAUAGGAAAACAUCACCCGGAUAUAGAGGAAAUGGUACAUUCGGUAGCGCGGUAGGAUAUUCCCAACUACAUCUGCUGCAACACUAACAUCCCAGCUCAAAUAGUUGGAAAAACUACAGCAGCAAAUUAAGUAAUACAACGGAAUAAUGCAAACCCAUCCUUGAGCAGAUUUCUAAAAAGGCUAGCCUCGCUUGGAAAGGAAUAACAAGAACUUAAACACUGUCCAUGGACCACUUCCGGCAGCGUCUACACUUGGUCCCAAUCAAGACACUCGUCGACAGCCCAACAGCAAGCUUCAGGGAACAGUCUGUAGUGACUCUACAACGCUAACACGAAAAUAAUGUCCGUCCCAGAAGGACUUCGAUUUCUACUGUUCAAAAAUGUCAAUAAAAAUAAUACUAAAUACUAUCACUAA